AGGAGAGUUUGAUCCUGGCUCAGGAUGAACGCUAGCUACAGGCUUAACACAUGCAAGUCGAGGGGCAUCAGGUAUCUAGCUUGCUGGAUAUGCUGGCGACCGGCGCACGGGUGAGUAACGCGUAUCCAACCUUCCCCUUAGUAGGGCAUAGCCCGGCGAAAGUCGGAUUAAUACCCUAUGUUCUUCGUUGACGGCAUCUGAAAUGGAGCAAAGGUUUACCGCUAAGGGAUGGGGAUGCGUCUGAUUAGGUAGUCGGCGGGGUAACGGCCCACCGAGCCUUCGAUCAGUAGGGGUUCUGAGAGGAAGGUCCCCCACAUUGGAACUGAGACACGGUCCAAACUCCUACGGGAGGCAGCAGUGAGGAAUAUUGGUCAAUGGACGGGAGUCUGAACCAGCCAAGUAGCGUGCAGGAUGACGGCCCUAUGGGUUGUAAACUGCUUUUAUGCGGGGAUAACGUGAGGGACGCGUCCCUUAUUGCAGGUACCGCAUGAAUAAGGACCGGCUAAUUCCGUGCCAGCAGCCGCGGUAAUACGGAAGGUCCGGGCGUUAUCCGGAUUUAUUGGGUUUAAAGGGAGCGCAGGCGGGAGCUUAAGCGUGACGUGAAAUGUAGCCGCUCAACGGCUGAGUUGCGUCGCGAACUGGGUUUCUUGAGUUGGUACGACGUCAGCGGAAUUCGUGGUGUAGCGGUGAAAUGCUUAGAUAUCACGAAGAACCCCGAUUGCGAAGGCAGCUGACGAGUCCCUUACUGACGCUAAAGCUCGAAGGUGCGGGUAUCGAACAGGAUUAGAUACCCUGGUAGUCCCCU
rnacentral:rRNA from 1 species